GUUUCGACGGCGAGCGCCCCCGGAGGCCUUCAAACACUGCAUCUUUGCGUCGGAGUUUAAGUAAAUUAAACAAAACUUUCAACAACGGAUCUCUUGGUUCUGGCAUCGAUGAAGAACGCAGCGAAAUGCGAUAAGUAAUGUGAAUUGC
rnacentral:rRNA from 1 species